AGCGUUAAUCAUCUUGAUCAGGCGUAAAGGGUUUGUAGGCGGCUUUAAAUAAACAUAAAGCUAGAAUCUAAUAGAGGUCACUUAAUAGAGAAUACUUAGAGUAGGGUUGACAUCUGCAGAUACUAAGUAGAAUUCUAACUAGCGAAAGCUCUUUUCCAAUUAAAGAUUGACGCUGAGAAACGAAGGGGAGGAAAGACAAUAGGAUUAGAUACCCUGGCAUCCCUCCCUGUCAACGAUGAAUGGUGGUUGCUAGUUUUAAAAGCUAGUGGCGAUGUUAACACGUUAACCAUUCCGCCUUGUGAGUACAAUUGCAAAAUUGAAAACAAAAAAAUUAGUCGGUUUCGGAGCAAACGAAGUGAAGCAUGUUAUUUAAUUCGAUAAUCCGCA
rnacentral:rRNA from 1 species